UGCCUCCAUCUUUAUUAUUAUUAAGUAUAUAUAUAUAUUUUGAGAGACAUGUGAUGGAUAAGAUUUAUUAAAAACAUUUAUUAGAAAAUAAAAGGGAUAAAUACCGAUUUUACCUUCGGCAAGGGCUCAUCUUUAUAGUCCGUGGAGCCAGACUUUUCUCCCAUCACUGUUUGCUUGAUGAUGGCUCAUCCGUCUUGGGAGGAGGAGAUGGUUGGACCUUCUUGGGCUUCCAUUCUAGGUGGAUCACCUUGGGCAGUGUGGCGGUUUGUUCAACUUUUUCUUUUACCUUCCACACUGUCUUCUUUUCUGAGGGUUUGUGUGGGGGUAUAAACCCCUAUACCCUUACGGCUAGACUUGGGCCAGGAGGCUUGGCCCAUCAUGAGGCAGUUCGAGGCUUGAUCUAAUUGCUAGGAGUUUCACGUAAGGAAACA
rnacentral:lncRNA from 1 species